rnacentral:lncRNA from 1 species
CCACAUCUCCUUGGCGGUUGUGCAGCAAGAGAUUUUUCGGUAAUCAUUUGGAUUCACCACACAAUAUAAUACAUGGAUGGCCCUUGCAUUAUUUUCAACUUUCUUGAUGUCCUCGGCAUCAUAUUCAUCUUCCUUCUUUGGAACCGUGGUCUCUCCAACUUUCUUUGUUGGCAUUGGUUCACCAUUUUUUAUGAUUUGCC